rnacentral:lncRNA from 1 species
UGGGAAGAGAGGAAGUUUCCUGAGAGUUCUCUAGUUGAUCUAAGAAUCAAGAAUUACUUCAAGAUUAUCUAUAUCGGGACAUCAGAACACUAACCACAGAAAGAGAUGAGAAGGGGGCUAGGAAGCUCCGACUACGGUCCUACAAACACCGAUCCGAACGAGGUGGAAUACGUCGACCAUUAGGGCUGUCACUACCCUAAGGCUACCACAACAAUCCGCAGGAUUGGGUGCAAUUCUAGGUAAUCGCAAGACUAAACACCACGUCUAAUCUAUUAAUUACUACUCUAGCGUUAUAAAGACUAGAGCACUUGAUGCA